rnacentral:ncRNA from 2 species
AAUCAUUAAUAGGUGUGCCUUCAUAUAAGUCCGAUAAUACGGUUCGGAUGUCUCUACUAAGUUACCUUAAAUAACUUAUCUAUGACGGUAGGCCGGCGUAUA